UACAGGGGGGGCAAGCGUUGUUCGGAAUUACUGGGCGUAAAGGGCUCGUAGGUGGCCAACUAAGUCAGACGUGAAAUCCCUCAGCUUAACUGGGGAACUGCGUCUGAUACUGGAUGGCUUGAGUUUGGGAGAGGGAUGCGGAAUUCCAGGUGUAGCGGUGAAAUGCGUAGAUAUCUGGAGGAACACCGGUGGCGAAGGCGGCAUCCUGGACCAACACUGACACUGAGGAGCGAAAGCCAGGGGAUCAAACGGG
rnacentral:rRNA from 1 species